CCUACGGGAGGCAGCAGUGGGGAAUAUUGCACAAUGGGGGAAACCCUGAUGCAGCGACGCCGCGUGAGUGAAGAAGUAUUUCGGUAUGUAAAGCUCUAUUAGCAGGGGAGUAAAUGACUGUACGUGAUUAAGAAGCCAUGGCUAACUCCGUGCCAGAAGCCGCGGUAAUACGUAGGGGGCAAGCGUUAUCCGGAUUUACUGGGUGUAAAGGGAGCGUAGACGGUGAUGCAAGUCAGAAGUGAAAGUUCGUGGCUCAACUACGGGACUGCUGUUGAAACUGUGUGACUGGAGUGCAGGUGAGGUAAGCGGAAUGCCUGGUGUAGCGGUGAAAUGCGUAGAUAUCACGCAGAACACCAAUUGCGAAGGCGGCUUACUAGACUAUAACUGACAUUGAGGCACGAAAGCGUGGGGAGCAAACAGGAUUAGAUACCCUUGUAGUC
rnacentral:rRNA from 1 species